GACGAACGCUGGCGGCGUGCUUAACACAUGCAAGUCGAACGGAAAGGCCCUGCUUUUGUGGGGUGCUCGAGUGGCGAACGGGUGAGUAACACGUGAGUAACCUGCCCUUGACUUUGGGAUAACUUCAGGAAACUGGGGCUAAUACCGGAUAGGAGCUCCUGCUGCAUGGUGGGGGUUGGAAAGUUUCGGCGGUUGGGGAUGGACUCGCGGCUUAUCAGCUUGUUGGUGGGGUAGUGGCUUACCAAGGCUUUGACGGGUAGCCGGCCUGAGAGGGUGACCGGCCACAUUGGGACUGAGAUACGGCCCAGACUCCUACGGGAGGCAGCAGGUGGGAAUAUUGCACAAUGGGCGGAAGCCUGAUGCAGCAACGCCGCGUGCGGGAUGACGGCCCUCGGGUUGUAAACCGCUUUCGCCUGUGACGAAGCGUGAGUGACGGUAAUGGGUAAAGAAGCACCGGCUAACUACGU
rnacentral:rRNA from 1 species